CCUACGGGUGGCAGCAGUGAGGAAUAUUGGUCAAGGGACGAGAGUCUGAACCAGCCAAGUAGCGUGAAGGAUGACUGCCCUAUGGGUUGUAAACUUCUUUUAUAUGGGAAUAAAAUGUUCCACGUGUGGGAUUUUGUAUGUACCAUAUGAAUAAGGAUCGGCUAACUCCGUGCCAGCAGCCGCGGUAAUACGGAGGAUCCGAGCGUUAUCCGGAUUUAUUGGGUUUAAAGGGAGCGUAGGUGGAUUGUUAAGGCAGUUGUGAAAGUUUACGGCUCAACCGUAAAAUUGCAGUUGAAACUGGCAGUCGUGAGUACAGUAGAGGUGGGCGGAAUUCGUGGUGUAGCGGUGAAAUGCUUAGAUAUCACGAAGAACUCCGAUUGCGAAGGCAGCUCACUGGACUGCAACUGACACUGAGGCUCGAAAGUGUGGGUAUCAAACAGGAUUAGAUACCCUAGUAGUC
rnacentral:rRNA from 1 species